ensembl:lncRNA
CAAUCACUGAGUCCAACUGUUGGCUCCACAGUGUUUUAUAAAUGCUCCUUGAACUCUGUCAGCUUGGUGCUGUGACCACUGCCCUGGGCAACCUACUCCAUGCCCACCACCCUCUGGUGCAGUCCUUCCCCUAACCACAUACCACUUUCACAGUCCUCCUUUGAGUGCCCUCUUUAGUCCUUACACUGUGGUACCCAAAACAGCACAGUACUCAAAAUUGCUUUCAUAAUGUUCUCUGGUAAUGGUAUGGCCUUUGCCUCAACUGCGGUACAUUACAAAUGAUGGCAGCCUUUUUUCCUCUAUGUUAACAGCCCAUGUCUGCCCACUGACAUACUGCCAGCACUCAGCCACACUUCUUCACUCAUUUGCCGUGCUGCCUCUCAGUACUGGUGGGAGUCAUCUGCAGCUGUCUCUGCACAUUGGCUAGACCUUGGUCUGUCACUGAUCCCAAAUUAAUUAUAGCUAUGGUAGAGUGGUUGAUAUUUGGUUAAACUAAAGCUGCCUAUUAGAAACUGUCAGGAAGUGUUAAAUUAUGCCUAAGCCUUAGCUGGGAGGAUGCUGAUACCCAGAGGCCAGAACUGUGCUUGGGAACAUGCUAAAAAGGGAGAGUGUACACAGCUGUAAGCCUGUACCUUGACUCUGUUUUAUCUAAUAAUGCAGGGAUGGCUCAUAUUCCUGAAAUUAGUCUGAUUCUUUGUUAAAGGAAAUAUUUGUAAAUAUACUGAAUAGUAAUGUUAAAACAAUAUAUUUUUUUUCCAAGUGCCCCCUCUACACUCACCUUUAAAACAGUUCGUUUCCUUCUUCUUUGUUACCUGCAUUGUACUGCCUGUUAGCCCUGAUGUGUUUGUGUGGGACUGGGGGGGAAUGCAAAAAAAGUCUGAAGCUGAAACGGUUGUUUCAUUCAUCUGUCUCAUGGCAAAGCAGAAAGAUGAAUGAAUGGAUUGUUGCAUAACUCAUAGCUGAAAUAACUAAGAAAUGCUUUGCUGAAAUUCUGAAGAUAUACGAAGAAAAUUUCCUUAAAAAAAAAAAAAAUACAGUUAAGACCAUUUAUAAACACAGAGCAUAGAGAAGAGUAGCCUUCAAGGCUCUUAAGAAAAUUCUGUUUUUGCACUUAUUUUUUUUUAAUUAUGGUUUUGUUUUUCCAUCAAUUACCCUUAAUAAAUGAGUCAACGUUUUUGUGGGUAGUAGCACUGACUAUAUAAGCUGCCCAAAAUUACUCAUGUCAAGCAGUUACCUAUUUUGACAUUGCAUAGUUCCUUUUUUCUUUCUGUUUGUGCUGGUGCAUAGUGUUCUGAUGUGAUGCUCAGGCUUCUCAAUGACAUGAACAGGCUGCGGAGGCUGCUCCUGUGGGAAGCAAAAGCUAUUCCACAUUGUUACCAGUGUUGAGGUGUUCCUGCCUGUCAAAAAAUGUUAUUUGAAAGCCAUCCUACCAGUUUUGGUUUUAACAGUGAACCAGUAGAACGCCAAACAAUAAAACCAAGAAGAAUUACAAAGUAUAUGUAAAUGGUAUUUCCACUUUUAAGAAAAUUGAACACAAAUUUGUAACUGGAACACAAACCUAUGGACGAAAAGAUUAUUCAUAUUAAAGCUCAUGGCUGUUUUACUAUGUGAUAUGAAACUGCUGGCCUACACUAAACACAAUACUACAUAUCACUGUACUAAAAAACUAAGUUUAAGCAUCAGCAGUAUGCUUCUUCUGUGGCUUAACCCAAAGUAAUACUGAAAUUCCAAUAUCCUAAUCCUAUCCUUAAAUAGUAAAACAAGCUCCUUCCUUCCUUCCUUCCUUCCUUCCUUCCUUCCUUCCUUCCUUCCUUCCUUCCUUCCU